rnacentral:rRNA from 1 species
UACGGAGGGGGCUAGCGUUGUUCGGAAUUACUGGGCGUAAAGCGCGCGUAGGCGGCUUUGUAAGUUAGAGGUGAAAGCCCCGGAGCUCAACUCCGGAAUUGCCUUUAAGACUGCAUCGCUAGAAUCAUGGAGAGGUGAGUGGAAUUCCGAGUGUAGAGGUGAAAUUCGUAGAUAUUCGGAAGAACACCAGUGGCGAAGGCGACUCACUGGACAUGUAUUGACGCUGAGGUGCGAAAGCGUGGGUAGCAAACAGG